CCCUUAGAUGUUCUGGGCUGCACGCGUGCUACACUGAUGCAUUCAGCAAGUAUACUUCCUUUGCCGAGAGGCCUGGGCAAUCUUGUAAACAUGCAUCGUGAUAGGGAUAGAUUUUUGCAAGUAUUAAUCUUUAACGAGGAAUUCCUAGUAAACGCAGAUCAUCAAUCUGCAUUGAUUACGUCCCUGCCCUUUGUACACACCGCCCGUCGCACCUACCGAUUGAAUGGCCCGGUGAAGCCUCGGGAUUAUGAACAAUGCCUUUGUUGGCAUUGUUUGUGAGAACUUGUCUAAACCUUAUCAUUUAGAGGAAGGUGAANUCGUAACA
rnacentral:rRNA from 1 species